rnacentral:rRNA from 1 species
AUUGAACGCUAGCGGAAUGCCUUACACAUGCAAGUCGAACGGAGUGGCGAACGGGUGAGUAAUGUAUCGGAACGUGCCCAGUAGCGGGGGAUAACUACGCGAAAGCGUAGCUAAUACCGCAUACUAUUGGAGCGGCCGAUAUCGGAUUAGCUAGUUGGUGGGGUAACGGCUCACCAAGGCGACGAUCCGUAGAUGGUUUGAGAGGACGACCAUCAACACUGGGCCUGAGACACGGCCCAGACUCCUACGUGAGGCAGCAGUGGGGAAUUUUGGACGAUGAGGGAAACCCUGGCCCAGCCAUCCCUCGUGUGCGAUGAAGGCCUUCGGGUUGUAAAGCACUUUUGGCAUGAAAGCGGUACCUGCAGAAUAAGCACCGGCUAACUACGUGCCAGCCGCCGCGGUAAUAC